UACGUAGGGGGCUAGCGUUGUCCGGAAUCAUUGGGCGUAAAGAGCGUGUAGGCGGCCCGGUAAGUCCGCUGUAAAAAGUCAAAAGGCUCAACCUUUGAAUGUCAGUGGAUACUGCCGGGCUAGAGUCCGGAAGAGGCGAGUGGAACUCCUGGUGUAGCGGUGGAAUGCGCAGAUAUCAGGAAGAACACCAACGGCGAAGGCAGCCCGCUGGGACGGUACUGACGCUGAGACGCGAAAGCGUGGGGAGCGAACAGG
rnacentral:rRNA from 1 species